rnacentral:lncRNA from 1 species
AGACCUCCACAUGUCUGAGAAGGUGCAGCCACAACAAUCUGGACAAAUUGUUGUCAUAUCUCAGCCAGCACAAAGAAGGGAUCAUUAUAUGCAGGGGGCAAAGUUAAAAGGCACCUCAGAUCAGCAGGGUCAUCUUCAGGUUGAAGCUGCCUUGCUUAAAAUGAAGUCCCCUGUUUCAGCAGUACCUACUGCUCUCAAUGUUCCAGUAGCAGAUUCAUCAAAACCAGUCAAAUUAAAGAGUCUUCACAGGCUUACCAGAGGCAGCCCCUAGAAAAAAGCUAAGAGGUUCUCACCUUAUGAAUCGCUUGCUCAUGGAUUACCUGUUUUGGAUGACAACCAACUAAUGGACACCCCUAUCCUUGAAGCCGAAGGGGUUGACAAUUGGGCGAUGGUGGCUUGCCCUAAAAAGCCACCAAGGGAUAGAUGAAGUUUGUAAGUUGGAACUGUCAGGGGCUGGGCAACCCCUUGACAGUUCAAGCUCUUAAGGACCUCGUGGUCCAUGAUCGGCCCGACCUUUUGUUUUUGAUGGAAUCUAAAAACCAGGACUCCUUUUUAUCUAGAGUACAAAGGAGAUUGCAUUACCAGCAUAGCUUUUUGGUGUCCCCUGUCGGUCUAGCUGGUGGUUUGGCUGUCUUUUGGAAUGACCCUCUCUCUGUUAGUGUGGAGGACUCCUCAGUCCACUAUAUUGACCUGAUCUGCUCUGGUCCCCAUGAAGGAAGCCCAAUG